rnacentral:rRNA from 1 species
AUGAACGCUAGCGGCAGGCUUAACACAUGCAAGUCGAGGGGCAGCAUAAUGGAUAGCAAUAUCUAUGGUGGCGACCGGCGCACGGGUGCGUAACGCGUAUGCAACCUACCUUUAACAGGGGGAUAACACUGAGAAAUUGGUACUAAUACCCCAUAAUAUCAUAGAAGGCAUCUUUUAUGGUUGAAAAUUCCGAUGGUUAGAGAUGGGCAUGCGUUGUAUUAGCUAGUUGGUGGGGUAACGGCUCACCAAGGCGACGAUACAUAGGGGGACUGAGAGGUUAACCCCCCACACUGGUACUGAGACACGGACCAGACUCCUACGGGAGGCAGCAGUGAGGAAUAUUGGUCAAUGGACGCAAGUCUGAACCAGCCAUGCCGCGUGCAGGAUGACGGCUCUAUGAGUUGUAAACUGCUUUUGUACGAGGGUAAACGCAGAUACGUGUAUCUGUCUGAAAGUAUCGUACGAAUAAGGAUCGGCUAACUCCGUGCCAGCAGCCGCGGUAAUACGGAGGAUUCAAGCGUUAUCCGGAUUUAUUGGGUUUAAAGGGUGCGUAGGCGGUUUGAUAAGUUAGAGGUGAAAUUUCGGGGCUCAACCCUGAACGUGCCUCUAAUACUGUUGAGCUAGAGAGUAGUUGCGGUAGGCGGAAUGUAUGGUGUAGCGGUGAAAUGCUUAGAGAUCAUACAGAACACCGAUUGCGAAGGCAGCUUACCAAACUAUAUCUGACGUUGAGGCACGAAAGCGUGGGGAGCAAACAGGAUUAGAUACCCUGGUAGUCCACGCAGUAAACGAUGAUAACUCGUUGUCGGCGAUACACAGUCGGUGACUAAGCGAAAGCGAUAAGUUAUCCACCUGGGGAGUACGUUCGCAAGAAUGAAACUCAAAGGAAUUGACGGGGGCCCGCACAAGCGGUGGAGCAUGUGGUUUAAUUCGAAGCAACGCGAAGAACCUUACCAGGUCUUGACAUCGAUCUAAAGGCUCCAGAGAUGGAGAGAUAGCUAUAGAGAAGACAGGUGGUGCAUGGUUGUCGUCAGCUCGUGUCGUGAGAUGUUGGGUUAAGUCCCGCAACGAGCGCAACCCUUAUUGCCAGUUACUACGCAAGAGGACUCUGGCGAGACUGCCGUUGACAAAACGGAGGAAGGUGGGGAUGACGUCAAAUCAGCACGGCCCUUACGUCCGGGGCUACACACGUGUUACAAUGGUAGGUACAGAGGGCAGCUACCCAGCGAUGGGAUGCGAAUCUCGAAAGCCUAUCUCAGUUCGGAUUGGAGGCUGAAACCCGCCUCCAUGAAGUUGGAUUCGCUAGUAAUCGCGCAUCAGCCAUGGCGCGGUGAAUACGUUCCCGGGCCUUGUACACACCGCCCGUCAAGCCAUGGGAGCCGGGGGUGCCUGAAGUUCGUGACCGCAAGGAGCGACCUAGGGCAAAACUGGUGACUGGGGCU